GUCCACGCUGUAAACGAUGGGUGCUGGGUGCUGGGAUGUAUGUCUCGGUGCCGUAGCUAACGCGAUAAGCACCCCGCCUGGGGAGUACGGUCGCAAGGCUGAAACUCAAAGAAAUUGACGGGGGCCCGCACAAGCGGUGGAGUAUGUGGUUUAAUUCGAUGCAACGCGAAGAACCUUACCCAGGCUUGACAUCUAGGGAACCCUUCGGAAAUGAAGGGGUGCCCUUCGGGGAGCCCUAAGACAGGUGCUGCAUGGCUGUCGU
rnacentral:rRNA from 1 species